GCACCGGCCAGCUAGCCCCUUUGUGCGGCGGGGGCUGCGGAGUGCUCCCUCCAAGACCGGUUGCACCCCGCUUUCCUGGCCAGGACUCUGGGCGCGGUUGGAGGCAUCUGUCCACCCAUGUGGUUCCAGACACGUUCAUGUGGCCACCAUGACCCCGUCGGCAUCACAGGGGUAACCAAGAGAGCAGCAAGUUCCUGGGACAGAGGAGACAGAAGGGAAUUUCCAGGUUCUUCAGGACGUUCACAACCACACUGAGAAGCAUCUUUGCAGAUAAGUAUUUAAACUUACCAGCCCAUAGCCUACCAGCCUGCCCUCUUCUGGUCUGUGCAGGAAAGUGUAGUAUCCUAGAAUGCCAAAGUGGGAGGGGAAAUGGGUGAUGUAGCUCAUUCUCUUUUCUACCUCUAUGGAAGAAAGAAAGAGCCUGUCCCCAUUUUGUGGGGUCCCAGAAAGGGUGAUUUUCACACUUCACAUUUGGCGUUAGGGCUAGUAUUUCACAAACAUUACCGUCUGGAACUUUUGAAGGCUGAGUUAAAUGACUUCAUCUUGUGUACUUGUAGAACUGCUAUUAGAAGGAGGCUGGGGACUCCCUGAUGAUGUGAACCAGCCCUUCUCUUCUCAGUUUCAGCACUUUGUGAUCAUAUUUAUAAACCUUGGACAGGGCUCCUUGGCCUUAGAGUUAAGUGAAGAGUUAACACUGUGACUUUAGAUGCAUUUUUCUCAGUGUAAGUGUCUGAGCUCAUCUCCAGUUCUGGACUCGUGCCCCCACUCCCGGGUGCUGACAGCAAGCUCUGAAGAUAUGCUGAGAGAGCUCCCUGACUCUCCUGACUCAGGUCUGCCAGUUGAUG
rnacentral:lncRNA from 1 species